rnacentral:lncRNA from 10 species
UGACAAGAUAAAUGAGGCCCUAUCAGCCAGCAAUAAGUACCACACUGAGCACUGAGACAGGGUAAUGAGAUCUGGCAUUGCUGGGUGGCUGCUUUCCAUUGGAUGGUCAGGGAGGCUUCUUGGAGGAACAGGAUUUAACUUGAGGCCAAAACGGCACAAGGGUAGAGCCAUAUAAAACUAAGGAGAAACCAUUUUAGGAUGAGGGAACAAACCCUGAAGGUGUGAACAAGCUCGGUGCAUCUAGACAUGUAAGGAAGGUUCCAGCAUGUGAAGGAGCGAGGACGGAGAAGGGUCCGGUGAGGUCUUACAGCAACAGAGGGUCCAGCCACAUGAGGCUGAGCAGCCAAGCUGGGAAAGCGGAAAUCUGGAGAACUAAAAUAUCUUGCUGAAGAUCACAAUGCAGUAAAGCAUAGGGCAAGUUUCCAACUCGAACAUCACCCCAGAACACUUCCUUUUAAACAUAAAUUAUGUUGCUAACUUUUUUAUUGUUACUUAGCAGGCAGAUUUCAAACUGAUACAAAUGUUGAAAAUGAUACAAAAUGUUUUCCCACCUUAAAGGCAUUCUGAAACCUAGCACAUAACAUCUGUCACUGAAGUCCAUAGUUUCCAAUGCCAUGAUUGGAUAAAGACCCUAUUGAGACUCAUGUGUUUGUCUCUCACUGCUUAAAACACUCAUGUGUUUUAAGCAACAUGACAAGCACAAAAGAGAACAAGUACUGCUCCUGCUCUCCAGGAAGUUACCAUAAAAUAAAGGGGAUAAGGUGCCUUCCAAAGAAAAAACAAAUACUAGGAGAGGUCAGAGGAGAAGAGAGAUUAUUCCAGAAGGAGAGACUGAGGCAGAUUUCAGGAGGGAAGAAUAUAAGAGUCCCAAAAGAAGAAACAGGAACCCAGGUUAGAGAGCAAUGGGCAAGGGGUAGGAGGUGAGACUAAACUCACAAGGAAGUUGCUUCAAAACAAUAGUGCCCCAAAUGCCAAGCUGAUGGGUUGGACCCAUUUAGGAAAAACCCACAAAGUCCACAGGAGAGCAGACUGCACUUCCAUGAGCUUCAAGCUGUAAACAGUAACCUCAAAUAAAACUUUUCCCGGAUCGGUAAUUUCCAUCCUGAACAAUGGCCAAGUCAAGGAAGCUGAGGAUCGAGCCCCCUACCGCAUGCCACAAAGAACCUCAAGGGACCCCAUGCUCUGGGGAGCUCGCAGGAGGACCAGCACAGAGGUGUGACUGCGUUGGGGCAGGGUGGCCACAUGUACAAUGUUGUACCUUCCAAUGUUCCUCCUUAGGCUGUGCUUAUGAAGUCCCAACAUGUCUUCUGGGCUGUGUUUUCAACCAAGAGAGUUAAUAAAAAGUGGGAUGGGCACCAACUAUGCCUCCAGAGACAUCAGGCAGAAUAUGCCACAGCGUGCCAUGUCCUCCUGCAAACAGUCAGAAAGAAAAGAUCUCUAAAAGCAGAUUGGAAGAGACUAUAUAUACAGAGCGAGUGCCGGUACAGAAGUUUUGCUGCAAAUACACCCUCUAAUCCCUUGCAACCCACUGCAAGCUCGAGAGACCAGUGCCCUUGGUAAAACAUAGGAGAGAUCAUUAAUUAAAGCCUAGGCCCUUUCUUUGAUCCUGAGGGAUAAGGCUUGGGAAAAUGCACAGUGAUAAAAGUGAACAUUUUAAAAGAGCAGAGUGAGUGUGAAUUCCCAAAGAGACCAUUCAUAUCAAGACCCAAGCCAUGAGAAAAUGCUACAAUGCCCUUGAUCAAUACUUUAUAGGCAUUUUGACCUCAGAUCUAAUCCCAUGAGGCUUAGACCAAGACCUUGCUUGAUGCAGACCUCUCUGACUGCUGAAAUUGGUCAGGAGCUCAGUGAUGAAAAUUUGGAAAGUCAAUGCUGAUACCUGAAGAAAGUCCCAUCAGAGAUCUGUGACCUGAAUCUUCAUAACUUUCACAGGCCCUUUCUAAAUGCCAAGGAGGAUGUGUGUGGAGAAGAAUAUGCCACCUAUGGCAUCCCAAUAUGCCUGUGCCCGCCUGCUCUUCAACAAGGGAAUGAAACCUGGGUAUUCUCAUAGGUUUUUUAAAGCACUUGUCCACAUAUUUUAUUCCGCAAAUAACACAAUUUAAAAUUCAGCUAGAAUUUGCCAUUUUCUGUCAGGGUUGUGCAUUUCUUCCAGUCACCAUGACUUCCUGAGAUAGCCAAAACACAAAAUUUAAAUUGUGUUUAAAUUAAAUAAACACAAUUUAUGCUGAAGCUGACUUUACCCACUCUGUUCCAACAUUACUUAUCCUCAGCAUCUCUGAAUUCAAAUAUCAGCCAGGUGUGGUGGCUCAUACCUGUAAGCCCAGCACUUUGGCAAGCCAAGAUGGGAAGGUUGCUUGAGGAGUUGGAGACCAGCCUGGGCAACAUAGCAAGACCCCCAUCUCUACAAAAAAAUUAAAAAAUUAGCCAGGCAUGGUGGUAUGCACCUUUAGUCCUAGCUACUUGGGAGGCUGAGGUGAGAAGAUCACUUGAGCCCAGGAGCUUGAGGUGGCAGUGAGUCAUGAUCAUACCACUGCACUGUAGCCUGAGCAACAGAGCAAGACCCCAUCCCUUAAAAAAAAUACCUGCCCUCUGUACUUCAUAGCACCUGGGGCAUUUUGAACAGUUCUUCCUUCACCUGAGGUCAUUAUUUGAGAAUCCAAUUUUAGAGACUACAAUGCUCUCAUUACUUGGAUUGUAUCAUUUAAUCUUCCCAACAAUCCAGGAAGGGGAGUCUCUUAAUGAUUGUCCUUGAUUUCCAGUUAAAAAAUCUAGACCCAGAGGUAACCUUGUGAAGGUCACAGAGUUUCAGAGUUCUAAGAUCCCAUGCGAGAUUGCUGAACUUGAACUUGUUUCUUCUGAUCUCAUGUCAAUAAGUGACUUAGUCAACACCUGGGUAGAAAUCAUCACUAAAGUGAGAAAGCACAUGGUGAGGGGGAUGAAUCCUGUGCCCACAUGGUCCCUUUCACCUGCCCAAUCCUCAGGCCUCUCACCUGGGGUACCCCUCACACACAUGGCACUUUCCUGAACUCAUGGACAUUUCAGUUUGUAACGAUCCUCCUAAGAUUAUCUACUUUCACCUAUCCACAUUUGAACUAUACUUCUUUAGUGGAAAAAAAGAAAUAAAGCCAGUGCUGAGAAUGAUCAAACUCCAGAAAUAGUAGACUGCUGUAUAAUUUGUCUUGCGUGACACCAGAUCUUUCAAGGAACUGCAAGCUCAAGUGCACAGUUAAGCAAGAUCAAGAUCUACCUUUGUCUUUCAGAGCCUUCCCUUGGCGAGGUCAAGGAUAUCUGCUGUGAGCCUGGGCUGGCUGAACCAAAGGGCAAUGGAGGCGGCCAAGAAGCCCCAGCCAACUGCUCCCCUCCCCAACCCCCUUCUCCCUGGAGGUCCCUUCAGCUAGAAUUUGCCAUUUUCUGUCAGGGUUGUGCAUUUCUUCCAGUCACCAUGACUUCCUGAGAUAGCCAAAAGCAUUUGCUGUGAGCAGAGCCCCAUGGCUGGCUUUGCACAUCAAACAUUUCAGACAGCCAUAUAUUUCAUAGAAUACAAGGGGAAGAUAACACUGGACACACAGAACUUUCCAACAGCUUGAGAAAAUGUGGUGCCUGGUGACUGACUAAAUAUACAAUCGGACAACAGCCAGGCCAUAGCAAAAGAUGGAACUCUGAUCCACAAGGUGCAGCAACUUUCCCAGAAAACAAUACCCUUACCCACAAAAAGCAACCCCGGAAGCUGGCCUGCUCUAAAUCAGACCUGCUGGAAGCCAAAUUGCUCUCUAGUAACUAUCCAGGAAGCUAAAUAAUAACUUCUGUAACAAUUGACUCAAAAUGUUCAGGACUGGAUUAAUAACUGAUGGCUUCCCUAAUUUUUGUCCCCGAUUCCAACUUAGGACCCACCAGAGAAAGCCAAAUAUGGUCCCCUGACCAAGCACACAGGAUGUUCGCUUCUAGUGAGCCGCCUCCAGCUUCCCCGCAUUGAUAACCUCCAAUCAGGGCACACCUGAAGCCUUCGCCUUUUUCCACUAUAAAGCUCUCCCACUCGUCUGCCCACCUUUGAGUCUCUGCCAAAUUGCAAAUGAUGGUGUCUGACUCCCUUGCUGUAGCAAGCUCUGCAUAAUAGCUUGUGCUUAUUCUCUUUGGGUAGGUCUUCAUUUCUUUUCACACCAGAUAGGCAUCAUCUUUGAAAACAUCUUUACUGGGUCUCUUGUCUCCCUCCUGCAGCCACUGAUCUAAAUCACAGACUUUUUUAGAAAGAGGGAAAAUAGUAAAGAAAGAAAGCGAUUGAGUUGAUGCUCCCAGCCACUGUCUGUACCCUGAAUUUUGUUUUUCUGCCAUAUGUCAGGUGGCCUCUCCUGGACCAUCGUCACUGUUUCUCCUGCUUCCCUGCAGCUGCAGACACAGGAGCACUGUGUAGGUCUGGCCUUGAGCACCCACCCACCCAGUACAGAGCCAGCCCCUGCUGUUCUGAAUCAGUGCAGUGACCACUUAGAACACAGUGCCCAUGCCUCUGUGAUCUGAACUGCUCUUUCCAGUUCCAUACAAUGUUAAGAACCCACUUAAGAAUGUUUUAAUCAUUCAGUAGUUUUUCGUGGUAUAUAAUAAAAAAGUGAUUUAAAUACAAUCUAUUUUAUUUUAGAUUAUAUCAUUAGGGGUUAUUUUACAAAGUUACCUUUAAAUACUAUUGUAAAUAAAAUUAAUAACAAAUAAGCAAAAUUCUUACUUUUCCUUGUUUGACAAUU